rnacentral:rRNA from 1 species
UACGGAGGAUGCGAGCGUUAUCCGGAUUUACUGGGUGUAAAGGGAGCGCAGGUGGCAAGGCAAGCCAGAAGUGAAAACCCGGGGCUUAACCCCGCGGAUUGCUUUUGGAACUGUCUGGCUGGAGUGCAGGAGGGGCAGGCGGAAUUCCUGGUGUAGCGGUGAAAUGCGUAGAUAUCAGGAGGAACACCGGUGGCGAAGGCGGCCUGCUGGACUGUAACUGUCACUGAGGCUCGAAAGCGUGGGGAGCAAACAGG